UUGUCCGGUUUUUCACAAUUGCAAUGUCCCCAACAGCAGCAUCAAAUACCUGCCAAAAGUUUCAGUUACAAAGGUGUUGAUCAGAUGUAGAGAGAUAUUACUAUGGUUUCUCUAACAAAGUAAGUUUCCAUUUCAUACUUGGCAUGUAGAUUCAUUCAAGCUAUCUGCAGGUGCUAACUCAACAUCAAGUUUCCAUGUAUUGGUACGUUAUCUUACCCCCAAGCAGACUCUCAUUUUAAACAUUCUUUGGGUAUACCAAUUCU
rnacentral:lncRNA from 1 species